rnacentral:rRNA from 1 species
AUUGAACGCUGGCGGCAUGCCUUACACAUGCAAGUCGAACGGCAGCACGGGAGCUUGCUCCUGGUGGCGAGUGGCGAACGGGUGAGUAAUGCAUCGGAACGUACCCGGAAGUGGGGGAUAACGUAGCGAAAGUUACGCUAAUACCGCAUAUUCUGUGAGCAGGAAAGAGGGGGAUCGCAAGACCUCUCGCUUUCGGAGCGGCCGAUGUCGGAUUAGCUAGUUGGUGGGGUAAAGGCCUACCAAGGCGACGAUCCGUAGCGGGUCUGAGAGGAUGAUCCGCCACACUGGAACUGAGACACGGUCCAGACUCCUACGGGAGGCAGCAGUGGGGAAUUUUGGACAAUGGGCGAAAGCCUGAUCCAGCCAUGCCGCGUGAGUGAAGAAGGCCUUCGGGUUGUAAAGCUCUUUCGGCUGAAAAGAAAUCGCACAGGCUAAUACCCUGUGUGGAUGACGGUAUCAGCAUAAGAAGCACCGGCUAACUACGUGCCAGCAGCCGCAGUAAGAC